CUCAAUGUGUCUUAUUUCGGUACGUGAGGAUGUAUUCGAGCAAACCUCAGAGCGAGAAAAAAAAAGGGAAAGAGGAGAGAGAAAAGAAACCGCUCCAUUAAUUCCCCACCGAUCUGCUUCAGCUGAUCUUCUCUCCUUCUCCAAAAAUCCCAAAAUCCCAAAAAGCACCACGUCCUGACACGUCAUCAAAAUCCAAGAUCCCUGCAAAUCUCGACCCCCUCCCUUUGAAAUUCCUAGUACAAAUCUGUACCAUCUUCAUUCCAACUACAUCCACACCAUCCAUUAUACAUCCAUACAUCAUACAUCAUACACAUUCAAACCCUAACCCUAAUCCCAUGAAACACAGUAGAAGUAAAAAGCUCAAACAGAUGAUGGAAUCUCCACCCACCUCAAUUCCGUGCUCCUGCUCCCUACUGUAAUUCCAUGCUCCUGCACCAGUCACAGCUCCACCUCCCAUGGCAGCAGCUGAGAAGAAAUGGCUCUUCCUCCUCCUCUCCUCGGCCUUCCUCUCCCUCUUCCUCCUCCUCUCCGCCAUCUCCGGCUUCUCCGCCUCCUCGGCCUUCUCCUCGCGCAAGCCGUUUGCUUCGGUGGUCCAUCGCGGGCCCAAUUCCCUGCCUGCCUUUGCCUACUACAUUGCUGGAAGCCGCGGGCAUGGGAACCGCAUCCUCCGGCUCCUGCUCGCCGUCUACCACCCUCGGAAUCGGUACCUCCUCCACCUCGGGACCGAGGCCUCCGAUAAGGAGCGGACUCAGCUGGCAGCCGCUGUGGCGGGGAUCCCAGCUGUGCGCGCUUUCGGGAAUGUUGAUGUGGUCGGGAAGCCGGAUGCGAUGACGUACAUGGGGUCAUCGCAGCUCGCCGCCGCCCUCCAUGCUGCCGCGGUGCUGCUGAAGCUGGAUGGUGAGUGGGAUUGGUUCAUCACUCUGAGCGCCACAGAUUAUCCUCUGGUCACGCAGGACGAUUUGUUCCAUGUCUUCUCCUCUGUGCCGAGGCACCUCAACUUCAUUGAGCACACCAGUGAUCUUGGAUGGAAAGAGUUCCAGCGUGUCCAGCCAGUUGUAGUGGACCCGGGUCUUUACUUGGCAAGGAGAACCAAAAUCUUUCAUGGCACGGAAAAGCGGCCAACCCCUGAAGCUUUCAGAUUUUUCACAGGUUCGCCAUGGGUUAUUCUUAGCCGACCUUUCAUGGAAUUCUGCGUCUUGGGUUGGGAUAACCUGCCUCGGACACUCCUCAUGUACUUCACCAAUGUAUUGCUAUCUGAAGAAGGCUAUUUCCACUCCGUCAUCUGCAAUGCUCCAGAGUUCCAGAACACGACCGUAAAUGGUGAUCUAAGAUACAUUGUGUGGGACAAUCCGCCGGGGAUGGAACCCCACUUCCUCAACUUAACCGAUUACGACAACAUGGCCCGGAGCGGGGCAGCCUUCGCGAGGCAGUUCCAUAAAGAUGACCCAGUGCUGGACCAGGUUGACGAGAAAAUCCUCAGGCGUGGGCCCAACAGGCCCGUCCCAGGGGCUUGGUGCUCGGGCCGGAGGAACCGGUGGAUGGAUCCGUGCUCUCUAUGGAGCGAUGUCAACCUCAUGAAUCCCGGCCCACAGGCACAGAAGCUUGGGAAUGUGAUGGCUGGACUUAUUGAAGAAUGGAAUUCGAGUUCGAGCUCGUGCAAAUAGUGUAUGCGAGAUGAAGAGUCUGGACACAAGAUGUAGUACUGACUGAGAUAGAUGAUCAUGAUCAUCGAUGACAGAGGUUUGCUAAAACAGGUGUCGUGGACAAUUCGGGUUUGAUAUAUUGCUGCAUGGGAACUGUGAAUCGUGGACCCCAUUCUCUAAAAUGACACUGAUCAAGCAAUCGUAACAAUGUCUCUCGAAUGGAUGGUUAGAAGCAAAAUAGUGAAUGUCCGGAGGGAAGAAGCAAAAUAGUGAAUGUUGGAAGCUAAAAAUCGGAUGGAAAAUAUAAUCUUCCUAGUGCAAUUUGGAAGCUUGUGUUUUGAAUACAUUUUAUUUCACCACUCUAAUACAGUGGAAUUGGAGUGAUUUCAAAUCCUCAUUUGGCAACCUGUAACUGGAAUGCAUUAGAAAUCCAAUUCUCUUAUAGGU